rnacentral:rRNA from 1 species
GCACUAAUCCCCCCAGGGGAGCCUGGCCCUUAAUUCGAUAAUCCACGAACCUCUUACCUUUCCUAGUGUGUAACUACCCUUAAAAAGGAGUUUAACGAUCAGCUCGUAUACCGCCGUUUCGUAGUCUAUAUGGUGACAGGAAAGAAAUAGGCGCCCCAGCGGCCUCGACAGAAUACAUGAACUCACAUGUAGGGGGCUUCGCUAAUAAUUCAGGUAAACGUGCGGCCUAUGGAAAGGGGGUGCUGGGCUACAAUUGGGGCUUGUAAUGGAGUUAUGCCUUAAGGGCAUAGCGAAAGAGGACUUGGAAGUAAUGGCUUUGGACAAUGAAGCCGUGAAUAGAGCUCUAGUGUGUGU